CUAUCCCGGCGUGCAUUGGGUGAGAGCUAGGAAUACAUCCUGGACAGGCCGCCAAUCCAUCGUAGGUCACACACACACCCAUACCUAUGGGCAAUGUAGAGUCUACCUGCCUUCUAGAAUAUAUUUGGACUGUGGAGGAAACCGGAGAACCGGACACGGGGAGAACCUGCAAACUCAGAAAGGUCCAGGACUUCUUGCUGUUAGGCGACAGUGCUGUCCACUGCACUACAGUGCCGCCCAUUUGCGGAAACCAGACUGACCGCAUUCUUCCACAAACCCAGAGUCUCCUGGCCAGAGGAACGUGAGCUAAACCGCCUGACCACCUGCUCCCUGCGCGGCGGCCAACGCAAACAGCAUCCACAGGAAGCAGCUUCAGCCUCAGCUUCCUGCCCUUUCCGCCACUCUGAGUUCCCAAUCUGCUCCAGCCCUGACCCUCUUCUGGUUCAAGCUCAUACCUUGACCUGGAGGCUGAGGCAUAUCGCCUUGCUCUCGUGACCUGCAUAUUAAUGUACACUUCUUUGCUUGGUCUGUCUAUUUUACCAGCUAGUUUAACAUCUCUGCCCAACCAUUAUGAUUAUUUGCUGUUAUCUUCGUAUUCGUUUUUAGCCUAAAUUGAGCUACUGACACUGUGCCAGCCAGUAGAGGAUGUGCUGCUCUUCUGUAGUUGGGUUCCUCCCCGUAAACUGUCUUCCCACUCCAAAUUAUUUUUUUUUGUGUGUUUUGUUCUGUUUUUUUGGGCAUUCAGGCUCAGUCUCUCCCCAUUUUGUUCAUGCUUGUUUUCAUGUAAAGCGUCUCUUUGACUGUCUCUAUAAAAAGCAAAAAUAGUACUGUUAUACAAAAGACUGAACUGUACUGAAUUUAAUUAGGAAAUGAUAGUCUCGGAUA